UGAGCAAUCUGCCCUUCUCAUCGGAAUAAGCGUUGGAAACGACGUCUAAUGCCGAAUACGACCUCCUUUCGCAUGAUCGGAGGUGGAAAGCUCCGGCGGAGAAGGAUGAGCUCGCGGCCUAUCAGCUAGUUGGUGUGGGUAAUGGCACACCAAGGCGACGACGGGUAGCCGGCCUGAGAGGGUGACCGGCCACACUGGGACUGAGACACGGCCCAGACUCCUAGGGAGG
rnacentral:rRNA from 1 species